rnacentral:rRNA from 1 species
GAGACAGCAGCCGCCGCGGGAAUACGGAGGGUGCAAGCGUUAUCCGGAUUUAUUGGGUUUAAAGGGUCCGUAGGCGGAUCUGUAAGUCAGUGGUGAAAUCUCACAGCUUAACUGUGAAACUGCCAUUGAUACUGCAGGUCUUGAGUAAAUUUGAAGUGGCUGGAAUAAGUAGUGUAGCGGUGAAAUGCAUAGAUAUUACUUAGAACACCAAUUGCGAAGGCAGGUCACUAAGAUUUAACUGACGCUGAUGGACGAAAGCGUGGGGAGCGAACAGGAUUAGAUACCCGUGUAGUCCCUGUCUCUUAUAC